rnacentral:rRNA from 1 species
GUGCCAGCCGCCGCGGUAAUACGGAGGGUGCGAGCGUUGUCCGGAAUCACUGGGCGUAAAGGGCGCGUAGGUGGCUUUUCAAGCGCGCGGUGAAAGCCCGGGGCUCAACCCCGGGUCGGCCGUGCGGACUGGGAGGCUCGAGCACUGUAGGGGCGGGUGGAAUUCCGGGUGUAGCGGUGGAAUGCGUAGAGAUCCGGAAGAACACCGGUGGCGAAGGCGGCCCGCUGGGCAGGAAGCCCCCUCACGGGGGCGGCUGACACUGAGGCGCGACAGCGUGGGGAGCAAACAGGAUUAGAUACCCGCGUAGUCC